rnacentral:tRNA from 1 species
GGGGAUUUAGCUCAGUGGUAGAGCGCUUGCCUAGCCGAGCGCAAGGCCCUGGGUUCAGUCCCCA